CCUACGGGAGGCAGCAGUGGGGAAUAUUGCACAAUGGGCGAAAGCCUGAUGCAGCAACGCCGCGUGAGCGAUGAAGGCCUUCGGGUCGUAAAGCUCUGUCCUCAAGGAAGAUAAUGACGGUACUUGAGGAGGAAUCCCCGGCUAACUACGUGCCAGCAGCCGCGGUCAUACGUAGGGGGCUAGCGUUAUCCGGAAUUACUGGGCGUAAAGGGUGCGUAGGUGGUUUCUUAAGGCAGAGGUGAAGGGCUACGGGUCAACCGUAGUAAGCCUUUGAAACUGGGGAACUUGAGUGCAGGAGAGGAGAGUGGAAUUCCUAGUGUAGCGGUGAAAUGCGUAGAUAUUAGGAGGAACACCAGUUGCGAAGGCGGCUCUCUGGACUGUAACUGACACUGAGGCACGAAAGCGUGGGGAGCAAACAGGAUUAGAUACCCCAGUAGUC
rnacentral:rRNA from 1 species